GUGGGGAAUUUUGGACAAUGGGCGCAAGCCUGAUCCAGCAAUGCCGCGUGUGUGAAGAAGGCCUUCGGGUUGUAAAGCACUUUUGGCAGGAAAGAAAUAGUGCGUGCUAAUACCAUGCGCGAAUGACGGUACCUGCAGAAUAAGCACCGGCUAACUACGUGCCAGCAGCCGCGGUAAGACGUAGGGUGCAAGCGUUAAUCGGAAUUACUGGGCGUAAAGCGUGCGCAGGCGGUUUUGUAAGACAGGUGUGAAAUCCCCGGGCUCAACCUGGGAACUGCACUUGUGACUGCAAGGCUAGAGUGUGUCAGAGGGAGGUGGAAUUCCGCGUGUAGCAGUGAAAUGCGUAGAGAUGCGGAGGAACACCGAUGGCGAAGGCAGCCUCCUGGGAUAACACUGACGCUCAGGCACGAAAGCGUGGGGAGCAAACAGGAUUAGAAACCCUUGUAGUCC
rnacentral:rRNA from 1 species